UUGGCAGCCCUCGAGACUGAAUUCCACUAUUUAUCCAUAGAAUAGGUACAGCCAGGGCAAGAUUCCCCUUUCCCUCCACAGUGCCAAUGUCCUUCAGCUCUGCAGGACUCCACUCAUAGGCUUGGGAAGGUAAUUCAGUCUCCAUGCCACAUUCAGUCCUUGGCCUCC
ensembl:misc_RNA